CCAUUUUGUUUGGGUCCCGCCUCAAAGCGGGGCCGGGGCCUGAGGCGGGAAGGGCGCCCGCACCCCCUCUGCCGCCCCGUGGCCCACCCUUGCCGGUGAUAAACGCCUCCUCCUCGCAACCACAGUAAAGGUAAAGCCAUUGGCCUUUGGAAGGAGCGUUGAGGAAAAAUUGGAGACGGGUUCUGGAAAGGCGCAUGCGCAGAAAGAAGCCCUCCUAAGGCCUUGGAUUCAAGACUUCCUCAGGUGCUGUGCUGUGCUCAAGGCAACAGUCUUGGACGGCAGUGGCUCACAAAGUGACCCAUUUAAGGUGGAACCAGGUGUCAAACAGAGAUGUGUUAUUGCCCAAACCUUAUUUUCCAUCUUCAUCGCUAUGAUACUUCACUUUGUUGAUGGGAAGCUUCCCACCGGUGUGGAAAUCCUCUUAUCGGAUAUAGCAAGCUAUUUAACCGCAGCAGACUGAAAGCCAAAACCAAAGUCACAACAACGUCUGCUAUAGAACUCCAAUAUGCCGAUGAUAACGUAGUCUGUGCGCAUUCAGAAAAAGAUCUACAAGCCACUCUAUAAACACCUUCGCAGAAGCAUACGAGAAGCUUGGCCUCUCAUUGAACAUCGAGAAAACCAAAUUGCUCUUCCAGGAGGCACCAGCCAAUCCCGCUGUAAGGCCAGAAAUACAGCUUAAUGGUGUAACAUUAGAAAAUGUGGACCCUUUCCGCUCCCUUGGGAGCCACCUCUCCACAAAAGUCAGCAUUGACACUGAAAUACAACACCGCCUGAGCUCUGCUUUGCGAGUGCAGCAUUCUUUCAAAUGAAGCGGAGAGUGAUUGAGGAUCCAGACAUCUGAGGAUGAUGGUCCUCCUAGUGUAGUGACUUCGUGGUGGAGGCGUAGGUGGCUGUGGAGGCCUAUUCUUGACCCGCAUGUUCUUCCGCAGUGAAGACAUCGGUUUCCAGAUGGAAGGCGGUCCCGGUCAGGGUUGGCUUAACCGCGCCUUCUUUUUGGCAUGCUCUCCAUUCGUGCUUCUUCGAAUUCUGCAGCACUGCUGGUCACAGCUGACCUCCAGUUAGAGCGCUCAAUGGCCAGGGCUUCCCAGUUCUCAGUGUCUAUGCUACAGUGUCUUUAAAUCUCUUUUCCUGCCCACCAACAUUACGUUUCCCUUUCUUGAGUUGGGAGUAUAGCAAAUGCUUUGGGAGACGGUGAUCGGGUCUUUGAACAACAUGGCCAGUCCAGCGGAGUUGAUGGCAUAGGAACAUUGCUUCAAUGCUGGUGGUCUUUGGUUCUUCCAGCAUGCUGACAUUUGUCAGGCAGGUUCUGCGCUUAGGCCCUGGAUUCAAGACUUCCUCCUUGUGAGGAAAAAGCCUCAAGUUGACUGUAUUCCAGGUAAAGGCCUCACUUUUUCAUCAUCACAGGACCGGCCUUUGGGAGUCCAUGUAAUCUAUAUAGUAAAAACAUAUUUAUAAAUAUUUAUUUAUUUGGGAAAUGUCUGUAUCACCUUUCUCAAACAGACUAAAGUCAGUUUACAUAUAUGUGAAUCUGAGCUUACAAAAACAUGGUUUCUUGGUUGUGUUUCACUGCGAAAUAUUUUAAAAGAAGAAUAAAUUUCUGCAGAAACGUUUCCCCAACAUUUUAUAGGCCGUUAUUUUGGUGUCAACCAAAAUGACGACCAAAUUGAGGCCUCCCUACUUUGGACAUAUUACUACACGAAAUGACUUCUUGAACAUCAUAGAAGAUUGCACUGCAGCUGGUUAGAUUCAAUCAUAGGAACCGUGGCUGCUGAAUCUGAGCAGAACUGUUCUGCUGUCUUCCAUAUAGAGCAAAUAAUGACAACUGUUGAUAAACUAUUGUCAUUUAAUAACAAUGACAACUAUUAAAAUUGUGAUGGACAUUUUGUGACAUCAGUUCAGGCAGUGGCUGAAGUGAAAUUAAUCCUCCCCAUUUGGGAUAGAUUUUGGAAGGUGAUUUAUAGCAGCUCAACCAGAAAAUGUGACAAAACCAGUCACUAAAAACCAGUAACAGUGAAAAUUGCAUGUUUUGUAUGGCCUGCAGAUCAAACUACAAGGUACAGUUGAAGCUGGGUAAUAGUGACCACUGGCCGGAGCACAUCCAAAUUAGAAGGAUGAAGCCAUUCUGAUAGCUGUCAGUUCAAAGGAAAGCUGAAAGAAAUCAAAAGACAUCCAGUUCCAGACAACAGCCCAACCCCUUAUGGAAGCCCACUAAUCACCGGAGCUCAGGUGCGCCCAAUUUGUUAUUCGCACUCUUUGGUGCCAAUGGAAAGAAGGAGGAAGAGCGGGACGGAGGGGGAGACUUUGCCUGGCACAGACAGAUGCGCCCGGAUCCAGAAAUGACAGUUCUGCCCCUCCGGAGGUACGAUCACUACAGAAGAAUCUAGUACAGCCUCCAGGUGAAAUGUCUGGUGUUCCAUAUGGAGCAGAGAAAAUUAACAACAAGAUGGAAAUCUCGCAAGCAGCAGGGAGCUAGGGUUUUUUUCCCCCUUCCCCUGUUUGGAAAAAAAAAUGAAAUUUAAAGAUGAAGAAGGAGAAGUAAUAAAUUAAUGGGGUGUGAAAACAUUCAAAGCUUUACAAUACCAGGGGCACUAUUUGCUCAGAUUUUUUUUUUGAAGGGAGCGCAGGGAGGGGGCUUAUAGCAUCCUCUCUCCCAAACUUCAAGUCAUUUUGAUGUAAUUUAUUAACAAAGAUCUGUAAGUGUAUCCAAAAAAAUUAAAAUAAACCAGGGGAGAAGGGGUUUUAGUCAGACUCGGGAGGACUAGUUUAAAUACAUUUCUGAGUCGUCUAGUUGUCAAGAGGCACAGCGUUGCCUCGACAGACUUUCUGGGGAGUCAAUUCGGCCCCCAGUUUGGAAGAUUUUGGGCAGGAAAAGAUACAGCUUUGACAAGGGCAAGUCGUGGUCUUUCUCUGCAAUUUUCACAACAGUAAAACAUGCCACUGACUUCUGUUACUGCUUUGAUUUAAGCGGGACAAAUUUCAAGAAGAAAUUUUAUAGCUAUCGACUUCUCAUGACUCUAAAGAGUUUCAGCUUGUAACCCAAUGCCCUUCAGAUAUUGUCCUUCAGAAUCAGAAGAUGGUGCAAAAUUUAAGAUGACGUACCGCUUCUAUAAUACAUAUAGACUUCCCUGUUUACUGGUAAGAUAUGUUUUGUCUUCAUAUUGUUUCAUGUUGAUUUAUUGUCAACAGGAAAAGAUAUUAUUGUCAUGAAACACAUGCGGACAUUACAGGUUUUGUUCCACUUCUAGUAACGUUUGCACAUAUAACAGGAACAUCUCUGAGAAAAUGCGCUGGGCCUUCAUGCUUUUCCCUUCAGAACAAUUCUGAAUUGUAAAAACCUGACAUCUUCCUGAAGACUAUUUUAAAAGAGCAAAUGAAUGAAGAUUGGCACCAUUAGAGCUUAAUAAAAACAUCAAGCAAACCA